CACGUAGGGCGCAAGCGUUGUCCGGAAUUAUUGGGCGUAAAGAGCUCGUAGGCGGCCUGUCGCGUCGGAUGUGAAAGCCCGGGGCUUAACCCCGGGUCUGCAUUCGAUACGGGCAGGCUAGAGUGUGGUAGGGGAGAUCGGAAUUCCUGGUGUAGCGGUGAAAUGCGCAGAUAUCAGGAGGAACACCGGUGGCGAAGGCGGAUCUCUGGGCCAGUACUGACGCUGAGGAGCGAAAGCGUGGGGAGCGAACAGG
rnacentral:rRNA from 1 species